rnacentral:rRNA from 1 species
UACGGAGGGUGCAAACGUUGCUCGGAAUCAUUGGGCGUAAAGCGCACGUAGGCGGCGCGUUAAGUCGGGUGUGAAAGCCCUGGGCUCAACCCAGGAAGUGCAUUCGAAACUGGCGCGCUUGAAUAUGGAAGAGGGUCGCGGAAUUCCCGGUGUAGAGGUGAAAUGCGUAGAUAUCGAGAGGAACACCUGCGGCGAAGGCGGGUUGCUGGGCUGAUACUGACGCUGAGGCGCGAAAGCCAGGGGAGCGAACGGGG